UACGGAGGGGGCAAGCGUUACUCGGAAUUAUUGGGCGUAAAGGGCGCGUAGGCGGUCGUGUGCGUCGAGGGUGAAAUCCCCGGGCUUAACCCGGGAGCUGCCUUCGAUACGGCACGGCUUGAGUCCGGGAGAGGGGAGCAGAAUUCCCAGUGUAGCGGUGAAAUGCGUAGAUAUUGGGAGGAAUGCCGGUGGCGAAGGCGGCUCCCUGGACCGGUACUGACGCUGAGGCGCGAAAGCGUGGGGAGCGAACAGG
rnacentral:rRNA from 1 species